rnacentral:rRNA from 1 species
UACGUAGGGGGCAAGCGUUGUCCGGAAUUAUUGGGCGUAAAGCGCGCGCAGGCGGCUAUGUAAGUCUGGUGUAUAACCUCGGGGCUCAACCCCGGGUCGCACUGGAAACUGUGUAGCUUGAGUACAGAAGAGGAGAGUGGAAUUCCACGUGUAGCGGUGAAAUGCGUAGAUAUGUGGAGGAACACCAGUGGCGAAGGCGACUCUCUGGGCUGUAACUGACGCUGAGGCGCGAAAGCGUGGGGAGCAAACA